rnacentral:rRNA from 1 species
GAUGAACGCUGGCGGCGUGCCUAAUACAUGCAAGUCGAGCGAACAGACGAGGAGCUUGCUCCUUUGACGUUAGCGGCGGACGGGUGAGUAACACGUAGGAAACCUACCUAUAAGACUGGGAUAACUUCGGGAAACCGGAGCUAAUACCGGAUAAUAUUUCGAACCGCAUGGUUCGAUAGUGAAAGAUGGCUUUGCUAUCACUGAUAGAUGGACCUUCGCCGUAUUAGCUAGUUGGUAAGGUAACGGCUUACCAAGGCAACGAUACGUAGCCGACCUGAGAGGGUGAUCGGCCACACUGGAACUGAGACACGGUCCAGACUCCUACGGGAGGCAGCAGUAGGGAAUCUUCCGCAAUGGGCGAAAGCCUGACGGAGCAACGCCGCGUGAGUGAUGAAGGUCUUCGGAUCGUAAAACUCUGUUAUUAGGGAAGAACAAACGUGUAAGUAACUGUGCACGUCUUGACGGUACCUAAUCAGAAAGCCACGGCUAACUACGUG